rnacentral:lncRNA from 1 species
AAAAAUAACCUAAUUGAACUAAAAUCUCAAAUAAAUCUCAAAUCAAUUAAAAAAUUGAUGAGAAUAUUUUUCAUAGAUUCAUCAUCAUUCAAAUAGGUUGGGAAAAUAUUUUUGUAUUUUUUGAAUAUCAAAAACUAUUUAAAAUGAAUUAAAAAUGACCAGGAAAGAGAAAAUUCACAAAAAAUACCAAAUGACAAAAUAAAAAA